AAUAGAUACCCCGGUAGUCCACGCCCUAAACGAUGCGAACUGGACGUUGGGUACAUUACGGUACCCAGUGUCGAAGCUAACGCGUUAAGUUCGCCGCCUGGGGAGUACGGUCGCAGGACUGAAACUCAAAGGAAUUGACGGGGGCCCGCACAAGCGGUGGAGUAUGUGGUUUAAUUCGAUGCAACGCGAAGAACCUUACCUGGCCUUGACAUCUGUCGAAUCCUGCAGAGAUGCGGGAGUGCCGCAAGGAACGACAAGACAGGUGCUGCAUGGCUGUCGUCAGCUCGUGUCGUGAGAUGUUGGGUUAAGUCCCGCAACGAGCGCAACCCUUGUCCCUAGUUGCCAGCACGUAAUGGUGGGAACUCUAGGGAGACUGCCGGUGACAAACCGGAGGAAGGUGGGGAUGACGUCAAGUCCUCAUGGCCCUUACGGCCAGGGCUACACACGUACUACAAUGGUCGGUACAGAGGGUUGCGAAGCCGCGAGGUGGAGCCAAUCCCAGAAAACCGAUCCCAGUCCGGAUCGGAGUCUGCAACUCGACUCCGU
rnacentral:rRNA from 1 species